rnacentral:tRNA from 1 species
UGUUCUGUGGCUUAGUUGGUUGAAGCGGCGGUCUGGCGAAUACGGAGUCGUGAGAUCAAAUCCCACCAGAACGC